AGUUCUCUGGGACAAAACCCAUCCCAACUAUAAGAGCAGAUCUCAUCGAGACGCAGCCUUGGAGUCCUUGGUUAACAAGUCCAUGCAGUACUUUCCCGAGGCAAAUUUGGAUUUCGUCAGGUCCAAAAUCUGCAAUUUGCGAAGUACAUUUUGGCGAUAAUACAAAAAGGAGUCUAAGAAGAAGUGUCAGAAUCAAGAGGACGUAUAUGCUCCAUCGCUUUGAUACUACAAUUUGUUGCUGUAUAUUGCAGGCGAAGACGAGGUGAAACAGGAGCCCGACAGAAACGACCCAAUUCAGGUGUCCUUUUGGUCCAAGCACCAUACGGUGCUCUUGAACGAGCAGCUCAGGAAGCACCCCCUGUUGUACUCUCGGGCCCCGGAAUCUGCGGGUUUGAAGUCCAAACGACUGGCUGCGUAUAAAAGCAUUACCCAUCCUUAUCCAAUUAGAUCCUUAUCUAAAUGCCGAGGUAGGGCGGCAUUUCAACAUGCACGAGGUGAAGGUCAAAACCAACACGUUAAAGCUACAAUUUAGGCGUGAGUUGCGAGAAUAGCAAUCCAAGACGUCCAAAAAAAGCACUAAAUUAUGGUGCUAUGACCUGCUAAGCUUCCUGGAAGAAUCCGAACAAAAUAGGAGGGAGGACGAACCCAAGGAAGAUCAACAAGCUUCAGAUGGUGAAGGAGAUAUUGUGGAAACUUUAUCAAAUGAGGCCGAAACUGGGGUGGAUAAGAAAACUGAAGGGCUUGAUGAUCUGUUUGACACAAUCGGUAAAACCGUCGCAGUGAAAUUAAGAGACAUGAGCGACGAGCAGAGGUGCUAUGCGGAGAACCUCAUCAAUGAAAUCAUGUACAAUGGCUUAAUGCAGAAGUUGGGUCCCUGCACCAAGAUUAGCUUCACUGGAGAUUAAGGUCAGCAAAAGAAAGAUUCUACUUAAUUUCAAACCGUACAUUAUUGCUUUAAUUUGUA
rnacentral:lncRNA from 1 species